AGUAACGGCGAGCGAACGGGGAGGAGCCCAUAGCCGAAGCGCGUGUAAUUUGUUGCACGCGCAAUGUGGCGUAUGGGAGUCGGCAUUCCUCCGAGUUUUGACCGGCGGCGCAAGUCCCCAUGAGAGGGGCGCUCUCCCCAGAGCGGGUGCUAGGCCCGUACCGCCGCCGGUCGUAUUCGGAGUCGCCGUUCUCCCGGGAGUCGGGUUGCUUGGGAGUGCAGCCCAAAGCGGGUGGUAAACUCCAUCUAAGGCUAAAUAUCCCCGAGAGACCGAUAGCAAACAAGUACCAUGAGGGAAAGUUGAAAAGCACUUUGAAGAGAGAGUUCAAUAGUACGUGAAACCGUUCAGAGGUAAACGGGUGGGGCCUCGAAGUCCUAAGGCGGUGGCGCAUUCAGGUCUGGUAACGGAGCCCGGUUGUGUUCCUCGGUGGCUCUAGGAGCGGAGCCGCGGAGCGAACCUGGAGCCUCGGGCCGUUCCGCACUUGCGCCCCCGUCCAACGGGGCGUCGCAAUCGGUUGGUUAGACUGUCGCGAGGAUGCGUCCCGGAAGGUGGCCGCCUUUUCCCACCAGAAGGUGCCGGAUCGGCGGUGUUACAGACGGGCGCGAAUCCCGACGCGUUUACCGACCGUUGGAGCGUUGCCUCCCGUAAGCGCUCCCUUUCAUCCACGGAGAGGAAGCGGCCCCCGCGAGAGGAGCGAUUGGAUUCGCGCGGCGACACCUGAGCUGGUGAAUCGAGCGAAGUCGGCGAAUCUAUCUCCGGGGCAGCCGCUGGGAGCCGGAGGUUUGCGGCGAGUAGGUCGGUUACCCACCCGACCCGUCUUGAAACACGGACCAAGGAGUCCAGGGCGCGCGCGAGUUCCCGGGACUUGACCAGGCCCGAGGGCGCAAUGAAAGUGAAGGGGGGUCGCGACGCCCCCCGAGUUGGGAUCCGCGCCGGUUAAUUUUAUUAAUGGGCGGCGGCGCACCAACGGCCCGCCCGUCUUCGAUUUCGAAGGGGCGGAGCCAGAGCGCGUGCCCUGGGACCCGAAAGAUGGUGAACUAUGCCUGGGCAGGACGAAGCCAGAGGAAACUCUGGUGGAGGUCCGUAGCGAUUCUGACGUGCAAAUCGAUCGUCAGACCUGGGUAUA
rnacentral:rRNA from 1 species